rnacentral:misc_RNA from 1 species
GAUGAAGAACGCAGCGAAAUGCGAUAACUAAUGUGAAUUGCAGAAUUCCGUGAAUCAUCGAGUCUUUGAACGCACAUUGCGCCCCCUGGUAUUCCGGGGGGCAUGCCUGUCCGAGCGUCAUUGCUGCCCAUCAAGCACGGCUUGUGUGUUGGGUCCCGUCCCCCUCUCCCGGGGACGGACCCGAAAGGCAGCGGCGGCACCGCGUCCGGUCCUCGAGCGUAUGGGGCUUUGUCACCCGCUCUUGUAGGCCCGGCCGGCGCUUGCCGACACCCAACCAUUUUUUUCAGGUUGACCUCGGAUCAAGUAGGGAUACCCGCUGAACUUAAGCAUAUCAAUAAGCGGAGGA